CACUGGAUGGGUUCAACCUGAGAAAGCUGAUGAUACAAUGUAUAGGCAGGUUGAUAUACCCAAUACAAGACUUGCUAUAUGCUCCCUCUGAGCUAAUUUCAAAUCUGGGGCCCACAGGCUGAGUCUUAAGCUAGCAAUGCAUCUAAUGUAUGUGCAAACAUAAAAGGAAUAUUUCCCUGCCUUUCUUCUCAACUUACAGAAAUAUUGUAAUUAGUUAUUUCAGGUGGGAGAAGAAGGGGAAGAAAUUUGAAGCAGGGGAAAUGUGUGACUGUUGACUUUGCAGUAGCUCUGUCAAAAAAAUGUAUUCUGCUUUUAAUACAUACCAUUUGGAAAGCAAAUCCCCUUUUAAAAUGCUUCGGAACUCAUGUCCUUUUUAAUUGCCUGGAAUUCAUGGUGGCUGUGUGAGAAAGCCAUAAACAUAUACAAUCAUAAAAACACAUUUAGACAACCCAAACAGAAUCAGUGCCAUAUUAUUUUAGUUUAUUAUUCCUAGUGGAGUACAGAUUGGUCUUCCUACUUUGAUAUUUAUUUAUACCAAGGAACUACAAGAACAUAAAUGCCACUCUUGGGAUAAUCCUAAUGCUGGGGCCAAACAGAAUACACAUUGCAUCUGUCUCAUUUGCAGUAAAAUGAAGGAAUGGUUAGGUGUAAUCCUGCUAAUGAAGGACAAAGUUGAAGGUCAAAUGUCGUCUUCAGAACGAAUGUGUCACUGUGAAGCUGAGAGAACUGUAGUUCUGCGUUAAAAAGUUUUCCUAAAAUAUCAAAUAACUAAGAUUGGGAAAAGGAGAAUGUACCUCUUUGGUUGUAUUAUUCCAUUUUCUUUGAAGCCACUCAAGGAUUCUGUUCAAGACUUUAGUGCUCAUAUGAAAAAUUAAUGAUGGGUUUUUGCUAGACAGAAAGCCUUCUUAUUUUGCACAAGAUUAACAAAGAAAACUCAAUGCAGAAGUGAGAUACUCAGCAGGGGGUGGUUCUCUCAGAGGCCAGUUCACAGCUUCACACCAGAACAUUUAUUGACAUGGGAAAAUACCCACUUUUAUCCAAAGACAGUUAAACAGAUAGGAUAUGUGCAGGGCUGUACAUACUGAAUAACAAGGAACAGAUUCUCAACAAAGGAAAAUGUCAACCAAAAUAAACAAACAGCCUAGCAGCAGGCUGACCCUGUGCUGUGCCUGUGGGCUGUUUUGAGUCUACUGCAGAGCCAAGUGCAAUGUUAGUCUUUUGCUAGUUAUUGUCAGGAAGUAGAUUAUCCGCUGAAAGGCUGGAGGGUGACUUCAGACAGUCUGCCUGUAGCAGAAGAAAAGCCAAGGACAUGUAGGCAGUAUAUAAUAUAUACAAGCCAGAUCUGCACUCUGCUUACAUGCUAUUUUGAUUUGAUGUUCCUCACCAACACAGAUCUCAUUUUGGGGGGGUCUGGGUACUUUUCCCACAUGUAAAAUCACAGAGUAAGCUCAUAUGAGCUUGUCCAACUGAAAGCAUCCUGGUUUAACCCUGUCAUUCCUGUGUACACCCCUCAAAUUUUAAACUUUCUUGGUUUGGUCUAGUCAGCCAACUCUGCAUUUUCUGGGAUUCAGAAGGGCCAUCUGCUACCCACACAUUCAAGAAGAAAGCCAUCCAUAAAAGGUACACAUUUUACAAGUUAUAAUGGAAGUAUAGUGAGUUUUUCUUAUUUUAAGCUUAAGAAAAGACAAACGUCUAUUACUAGUGAAUAUUUAUGAUUUGUUCCCAGGUACAGGAGGCUUUUAUAAAUAUCUGUUAAAUACAACAGUGCACUACAAAGAGCUGAGUGGGGUUAUAAAUCUCAGGUCACACUCAGGGUUUCAGGUGUCAAACAAGAAUGAAGCAGAUCACCCUGGAUGAACUGGACCAGAAAGCUUUCUUUCCUUUUCUUAUUAUGCUAGUAAAUGGAGAACUAUCCCUCCCAAAAUACUGCCAUUAUGAACUACAAGCUCUGUUUGUCUUGCCUCUUGCUUUUAAGGUAAGGAAAUCUGGGGAACAUUGAAGUUGUUGAGAACUGGUCUUUUGCAGGAGGAUGCAAGGUAGGGUUUAUAAGUUAUCAUUUCUAAAUGAUAGGAAGUCAGUUAUGCUAGAUAUAAAAAGACAUGAAGCCACAAAUAGAGCGCCUGAUAACAGCACUUAUGAGCUUUUCUAAAAGGCUUCAUAUUUUGUCCGAUUUGGUUAUAGUUUGUUUGCUUGAGCAAUUCUUUUGAAGUUAUCUACAGUGGUGGUACUGAAAUGCAGUGACUAGUGUACAAUUAUAGAACCAGGUUGGCAGAAUGAUUGAACUGGCUAACUGCCAUUUUCACAGCAAUUAUUUUUUUUUUCUUGUGGAUUUUUAGAUCAGAUCCCUGCAGGAACAGAUUGAGUGAAAUUUUUAUAUUGUUAUUAUGAACGUUUUGAUAUUGCAGUAAUGAUUUUUUGAUAUUUGAUAAUAAAGCCUUGAGAUGAUAGCAGUGGAAACCUCAGAGUAGCUUUCAUAACCUGUUCAUUUUGUGGUUUUUUUUCAUGGUGAAUUUUUUUUCUUUGCUACCAUCGGUUGUUUGGUUUUUUAAUUAUUUUUGUAGGGAUUUCUCUCACUGCUUUUGCCUACCACACAGUACUGCUACAUAGGAAGCAUAUACAAAAAAUGUGCUUACUUUAUCCUGUCAAGUACUACUAACCAAAUACAAAGCAGCACAGCCCAAGUUUGGUCCUGCAUCACUGAAUUCAGUGAGAGCUUUGCUUUGGCUACAUUAAAGAAAGGAUCAGGCCCUAUCUGAGAACAGAUGAAUGUUUUGAUACAGUGAGAUUCUACUCCAAAAUUUAGACAGACAGUAGGUUUUAGGAGUGAAUAUAAUUUAUAUUCCUAAAUUAUAAUCUCUCUAGAACAGGAAUGGUAUUGCCAUGUGUAAUCUGCAAAACAUCCUAUUUUGGCAGGAAGGGCAGAAUUUGAUGACAGAAUUGUAACUACAGCUGUGAAGCGCAGAACUAGAGAGCUGCCUGCAAGGGAGAGGUGUCCUGUACUCGUGGGAGCAGCAGGGUCUCACUGUUGCACCCUCGCCUGCCAAGAAGCCAUUUCUGCCCUGGGUUCUCCAAACUUAGCCUCGUGCCGAUGAGUGGCUGGUCUUGGUUUGCCCAUUGGCUGCUGCCCUGCAGACGGCACCAGCUGUGUUUUCCUCACCUUUGCUCGGCCAGAGCUCUCAUUUGUGUUUCCUUCUGCUCUCCAACCAAAAGUGUCCAUGAAGUCUUACAGGCACGUAUUUAUUCUUGAGACUUACAAUGCUUUUUUAUUCUGGCUGAGAUUGACUGACAGGCUUGAAAGUUCCUGUAAGGCAAUAUGAGAGAAAAACAAGGACAGACAGACAGAUAGCAAUGGCACGACCCUCAUUUCCUUAGGAAACCAAGCUAAAAAUGGAAAUGUAACCUCAGACCCUUUGCUGAGGGCUUCUCCUUUGAAAGCCAGGAUAAGAACAGAUAUAUCCCAGAUCAGAAAAGACAUGUGGAGAUUACUGUAUUCUUGUGACUAUAUUAAAGGAGUCAAGAAAAGAAACUAAUUGUGAAUAGCUUUUAUGUCCUCUUAAAUCACCAUAAUUAUUAAUAAUAAAUGUAUUGUAUUUACUUUUCAAGCGAAAAAAUGGUCCCAUGGUACAGUUAAAACCAGAGAGGGGUACCUGGGGGACAGAAUGCAGAUGUGCAUGCAGAGGUGCUCCCCCACCCCUGCUCUCCUCUCGAGGGACACACUGAGGAGUGGGCUGCUGUCAUGUACUGCACUGGGCUGCAACCACACAGGCAGGUAAAAACAACUGAGAAAGGAGGCUGGCAUCAGCGUUGCUUCGCGAGCUCUUAGAAGAAUAAACAACCUUGUGCAGACACAGAAGAAAGGCAGAGAAAUAUUAGAUGACUUACCCACAGUCUGCAGCAGGUGCUCCUGGAAAGUGAGGAAGAGACCUCCGCUGCCUGUGCCUAUUGCCAGUGUGACUCUGGAGUUUCCCAGCUCUGAAAGAAAUAAAUGCAGCAAGAAUUGUCCCAGUAGAAGUUCAAAGAUCUUAGUCCCUGGUUCAACGCCUAGAAAAGCUGGCCAGAGAUGCAAUACAGUGCAUGGACUUCAUUGCGUGUGACCACUCCCUGCUGUGUGCAGACAAGAAGUAAGUCCUUAGGAAAUAUUCCAUGUGCUGGUUGUACCCCUGCAGCCUUGUUUCCUACCUAGGGGUAGCUGUGAUUCUGCAGUACUGUCUCAGCCACCUCACCCUCCUAACAGUCGUGGUUUUGACUCAUCACUUUGAUAGCAAUUUGGGAAGGGUUGCUGGGUGGUAUGAUUGGCACUAAUCCCAGAGGAGGAAUAGCAGAACAGUAAGCAAUGAACAUGGAGACUUGGAUGUGGGUUUACUGCUGCUGAAAAGAAAAGGACAAACAAAAGGGAGAAAGUAUGUAGUGGAUAGGAGAAAAAUAUAAGGAAGGGAUACAAGAAGGACACCUGGUUUAUGGGCUGUUACUGAUGUAUUUUCUAACUCCAUGAGUGCUGCAAGCGCUGGGAAUACAGGAAAACAAGACAGACCAACAAAAAAGAUCGGUGUGAGAGACUGCAAAGUGGCUGAGAAGCUGCCCUUGCUUGCAAGUCAUCACAAUUACUAUCAUCUUUCAAGAACACAUUGCAUUUUUCACAAAAAUAUUGUCAAAUCCAUGGCUUUUGUAUAUCUGUCUUGAUAUGGCUCCUCAGGAGAUUUGAAUUUUCUGGUACCUAAAAGUUUGUGGCUACUUGUCUCCUUCCUGGCUAGCUUCCCUCAUUCCUAUACCCAUAACUUUGUACCUAAUACAGAAGUGCUGAAGUGCUGCUACUUUUCUUUGAGAAGAGCAGCCACUAGAGGGAAGGAUGCAUGCGGAGAAGUUUUCCUCAGCACCUCUCGUGCUUCCUCCAUAAGUAAAAAAAAUUCAUAAUUUUACCCAGCAAUUGUAAGGUGGCCUGGUUUAUCCUUUCACAUAAAAUAUAUUGAAUGAGAUUAUUUUUAGUAUUGCAGUUUCACCAUACAUCCUGAAACACAGCCAAAGUUACGGGCCAGAAAAAAAAAAAAAAAAAAAAUCGUUGGCUACAUUACAGACAAGAUUGGAUUACCUGUUCAAACAGAGCUCUUAAUUCUGCGCAUAAAUAGAAUCCACAAAUACAAGAGAACUUCGGUAGAAAAUAAAGCCAGCCAACAGCCCCUAAUAACCCCUAAUUAUUAGGAGUUUCAGUUAACAUUUGGACAGCUUUGGUCUUAAUUCUUUUAAGUCUGAAGAGGCAGCAUGACCAAGGUGGCCACAUUUACAAUUACAGUGAGCACACACGCUGUUCCAACCCAUGCUGGCUUUAGCUGAGUGUUCUCUGGCAGCUUGGGUUGGGAUUUUGCCCUGUUAAAAUAUAAUUACUUAUCUGAAUGGCGACUAAUUUCCAGUCUGAAUUAUUUAUUUGUAACAAUGCACUUGUUUUGACAGAAGUCUAUGACAAGAAAAACAAAUCAAGCUCCUGACCUUGGCAUCAUUGCUUACUUAGGAAUUUUUUGUACCUGAAAGAAAACAUGCUAAUAUACCAUCCAAGUAAUGAAUUAACUUGCAUGUUAUCAGUAAAUACAGCAACAGAAAUCUAGCUGUAAAGAAGACACCUCUUAAGGUAAGACUGAAAUCCAAUGUCACUUUUAAAAAAAAAAGAGAAAAGAAAAGCUUGACUGCGCUAUACUACAUAUGGACAAUUACGGUUGUAUAAGUGAGAAUGUUUAAUAGUUGUCUCAAGGAUGGUGUUUUCAAAUACCUUUAGCAGUGAGCUAAUAUUCUUUCCCAGUUUUAAAGUUGCCUUAUGUAAUAUAUAUAUAUAUAUAUAUAUGAGAUCAGAAGUCAAAUACUGUAUUGCAGGCAGUCAAAAAAAGCAGUAGAUGACAUUUUCCAGAUUAUCUUAGUAAACUGUGUUGUUCUUCAAAAUAUACAAAACACAUCUGUGCAGCCCAAUGAUCCUUCAAGGCAGACAAUUUUAUAUUCAGGUACUGCUGCAAUCCAGGCUUUGGUUAAGAUUGCGUAACAGUUUCCCCUUUGACCUUCUGUUUGCAACUACCCGUAUCCAUCAAAAAUUCCUACUUCUGAGACUGAGGUUUGCCAUGGUUGUGAACUGCAAAAGGUGAAUUUUUAUUUCAACAUUUUGUCACAAUAUUUUUGAACAUUUCAAAACACAUGAAGGUACAGGGAAAACACUAAUCUUAUUUUGUUUGAUAUUCUCUGGCCAGAGUGAGAUCUGAAAGUAAAAAUCAGAACUAUUUUUCUGUAGGAAGGAGUGUGUGAUUAAUUUUGGGAAGCAAUCUGGUUUCAUUUGAUCAAAUAAAAUUACAGAACGUUUGGAUAUGAACAUAUGCGAACGAUCACCUGGCAGUUAUUCUCAGGUACACACCUUGGAAAGCACAGGCACUCUUUAGGUGUCCAUGCUACUGAUGGGUUUUACUCUCAGCGAUGCCAUCUUUCUCCUGCAACCACAAAUGAUCACAAGAGAAUUCCCUUGGCCUGGUGGUGUUCUCCCCAGCACCUGAACCAGCCUGUCUGUGCCAUUUUCUGUCCUCUCUCUGCUGUGUACGACCUGCACUGGCAGGCAAGUCUUUGUGGCCUUUCUUAUUCUACAGGGUGUGGCACAUUACAGAUAAUUUCUGCUGGAUGGCACCUUAACAAUUCAUCUGCUCCUGCUGUGCACUCUCUCACUGAACUCGGUCUGCUCUUUGAGAUGCCUUAAUUGCUUGCUGUGGAAGCUGAAGGUGACACCAUAAGCAAAUCACCAUAAAUACAUGCAAACGUCUCUUACAACAGCAAAUCAGAUGGUUGUAGGUAGUGCACAGUAUGGAUCAGCAAGAGCUGUUUUGCUCUAAAUCUCAUUUUCACCCAUCUUCUGACUUUGUACAGAAUCUCAGCAAAUGCUUGGAAAGACAACUAUCUUAAGUUUAUAUGGGCAUAUAUAAACCCCUGAAUUGCUUUUUGCUGUUUAUACUUCAUAAACUAAUAUAGCAGUGAACAAACUGCAUUUUCAGAGCUGUGAGCAAACUGCAUUUCAUAUAAGUUAUCCAGUUAUGGGCCAGACCUUGCAUUUCUUACUCAAGAAGGAUUAAAUCAAAAGGCAAGUAGUCUGUGAAAAGAUGGUUUUAUACACAGCUAGCUAAACUCUUGAUAAAUUAUUCUCUCCAAGGAAAAAUAAAGGUUUCUAGUAGAUUUCUCUGUACUUGUUUUCAGAGAAGCUUAUGCUUGCCCCCCUUAGAGGCUUUCUUCAUAAGUGAAGCUAACAUUAAAUGUCUAGUGAGAUUGAGUUUCUAAGGAUGAUUUUCCUAAAACAGGAUUAAGGCUCACUGACAGUGUAAUGCAGGGCAGGUAAUGUUGCUGCUGCUCAUGAUUUAAACUGCUUUGUGGCUAAACGAUGUUUGGGUUUCUACAGAUAAUGGUUCAGUACCUCUGGGCUCUAAACUUGCUUCUGUAAGAGGUAAAAACCCAGGUAAUUUUGGUCUUUCCAUAUUUUUUUUUCUGGAACAAAGUAAGCAACCCUCUUAUGACUUGAGCAGGAUAGUAACCAGUCCUGAAGUGGUUCUUCAGAGACUUAUGAGGAUCAUUCCAUUAAUUUUUUUUCCCCUCGAGAUUAUUUCUAAAUUGUUUGUUUGUUUUUCUUUAACCAUGGGUGAAACAUUAGGAGAGUUCUACAAACUGAUAGUCUGUGGUCAAUCUGUCAACAUCAAGGUCAUGGCUAGUUACUGUGCAAUGGACAGUUCACACAUUUUCUCCACAUCCACAAAAGUAUUUCUUAAAAGCAAACAUCACACAAACAAAGAGCUCUGCUUGACAAAUACGUUAGUUUCAGUCUAAUAUCUACAACAUCUAUUACAGUUUGUUAAUACCUUGACACUGCUCUGAAUAACAAUUGCCCUAUUGUAUCUCGAUGACAUUGAUUAACAAGGCAGUUUGUAAUUAGAUGGGGUAAUGUAAUUCCUGGCCCUCUGUAAACAUCUGGAUUUGCAAAUCCGCACUCCUAGCUUGGGAGCUCUUUGCCACACAUCACUAAUUACGCCAUGUUCUUAUAUAUCAGUAUCUACAUCCUCCUGCUGAGCAUCUCUUCUUUGUUCACAGUACGAGUCAGAGCCUGUUGUCAAUACAGAGAAAAUCAACAUAACUGCCUAGCGCCGCAUGUGACAUUUAAUGAAAAUGAAGUAAUGUCUAAUUUGCAUGGCUGGUGUUACUUUAUUAAAGCCAGAACUGCAGAAGCUGGGUGCUACAGUGCUAGUCAAGUGUGCAAGACUGAUAAUCUGUGGCAACGAUGGUGUCUGGCACAGGAAACUUUGCAUCCCCCUCUUGCCUGCCUGCCCACCUCCUAUGUGAGGAAUAGGGCUUCUGCUAAAAGUGACAGAUUUGUUCAUUUUUCCAGGCCCGUCUGUUCUUGUUCUUUCUGUUAACUCCAUCCGUCAGAGCGCGCAAAGCAGUCAAGGUGGCUGGGGGAGGAAGGCCCACCCUGCUUCCUCCCAGGAGGGUUCACCACAAAACAUCAAGGGCAACUUCCAGCUCAGGAGGGAAACGCCUUCUGGAUUCACAUCAGCAAGCUACAAAUAAAAAGCUCUAUAGCACAAGAAAAUAGACUUCUGUCAUGCACAAGAAGCAUCUUAGAAGAGAAAUAUAUGAAUAUUUUGUACAUAAAAAAGAGCCAUGUAUGUCGGAAGAACACACAGUCAAGCACUCAAAAGAUUUAAAAGGGCGGAGUUGUGCUCCAUCAUGUUCCAUUUCCCCAUGCCUCAGUACUGACAAGGAUGCAAAAUGCUCAUGUUUGCUGAUUUUUAUUUCCUUUAGCCUUAUUAGUACUGCUUAGAAAUAUUUAGAAAUAUUAAUUUUAUUUUUAAAGAAUUCUGAUUCUGACUUCGGACUCAGUUAAGAAGGUCAGCAGUAAUAAUACAUUAUAAAUCAUAAGCUUAUGUCUUGAAGUAGAACAUAACACAUCUUCUAACAGGUUGUGGCUCCACCCACUCAGUUUUAUCUCAUUUUCGACUUCUCAGGAGAGUUUUUGUUUCCUUUUUAUUAUGUCUCCAACUCCUUUCUGACUACAUUCCUUCCCCUAUAAUCAUUUUGCCUCUACAUUGGUUUCCAGACUGUUUCACUGCUGAAUGUCUAAAAUGAAGUGUGGGGUAUUUUGAUCCUCUCUGAAGUAUGAUGCCAUUGGUUAUAGCUACACCCCGUCCCCUCCACGCCAGCCAGUACCAAACCGCGGGCAAACUCUGAUACUUCACAGACUUCUGUCUGAGCAACUUUACAGACACACAUUUAAUGUAGCAGGGCAGUAAUAUGAAUAAAGUUUUAUUUGUAGCAGUUUUCAGAGAGAGAUCAAUUUGCCAGGUAAAAUCUUAUGAACCACACAAUCGGAACAACACAGUAAAAUAAAUUAAAGCCUUUACCAAAAUUCAUAAUGAUUUGCACUGGAGCCCAAUUUUGGAUGAUACUCAGUUUCCCAGAGAGGAUGCUACAAACUCCAUGUAAGUUUUUAUCUCUGAAUAUAAGUUUAAUUUUGCAAA